AUACGUAGGUGGUUUGUCGCGUCGUCUGUGAAAUUCCGGGGCUUAACUCCGGGCGUGCAGGCGAUACGGGCAUAACUUGAGUACUGUAGGGGAGACUGGAAUUCCUGGUGUAGCGGUGAAAUGCGCAGAUAUCAGGAGGAACACCGGUGGCGAAGGCGGGUCUCUGGGCAGUAACUGACGCUGAGGAGCGAAAGCAUGGGUAGCGAACAGGAUUAGAUCCCCUGGUAGUCCAUGCCGUAAACGGUGGGCGCUAGGUGUAGGGGUCUUCCACGACUUCUGUGCCGUAGCUAACGCAUUAAGCGCCCCGCCUGGGGAGUACGGCCGCAAGGCUAAAACUCAAAGGAAUUGACGGGG
rnacentral:rRNA from 1 species